rnacentral:pre_miRNA from 1 species
CAGCUACUCCCUCCGUUCCAAAUUACUCGUCGCUGAAAUGGAUGUAUCUAAAACUAAAAUACAUCUAGAUACAUUCAUACGUGCGACAAGUAAUUCGGAAUGGAGGAAGUACUAU